GCUGGGGUAGCCAAGCCAGGAUUAAGGCGGUAGCCUCGAGAGCUACUGGUGCUCUCGCACCGCAAGGGUUCAAAUCCCUUCCCCAGCG
rnacentral:tRNA from 1 species